AGCGGCGGGAGCAGGUGGAGGGCGAGCGGGGCCUGGUGGGUGCUGGGGUCUCGUCCCCGGGCCCGCGAAAGAGCGCUGGAGGUGGCGGGGCCGGGCGGGGCGAUGAAGCCGAGCGGCGAGGCGGCGGCGGCGGCGGCGCCCGGCGCGGGCCCCUGGGACGAGUGCUUCGAGGCGGCCGUGCAGCUGGCGCUGCGCGCGGGACAGAUCAUCAGAAAAGCCCUCACUGAGGAAAAACGUGUCUCAACAAAAACUUCAGCUGCAGAUCUUGUAACAGAAACGGAUCACCUCGUGGAAAACUUAAUUAUUUCCGAGUUGAGAAAGAGAUUUCCUUCACACAGGUUCAUUGCAGAAGAGGCCGCAGCCUCCGGGGCCAAGUGCGUGCUCACCCGCAGCCCAACCUGGAUCAUCGACCCCAUCGAUGGCACCUGCAACUUUGUGCACAGGUUCCCAACCGUGGCAGUCAGCAUUGGCUUUGCUGUUCACCAGGAGCUUGAGUUCGGCGUGAUUUACCACUGCACGGAGGAGCGACUGUACACAGGCCGGCGGGGCCGGGGCGCCUUCUGUAACAGCCAGCGGCUCCAGGUCUCCAGAGAGACAGAUCUCUCCAAGGCCUUGGUGCUAACGGAAAUCGGCCCCAAGCGUGACCCUGCGACUCUGAAACUGUUCCUGAGCAACAUGGAGCGGCUGCUCCACGCCAAGGCUCACGGGGUCCGAGUGAUCGGAAGCUCCACCUUGGCGCUCUGCCACCUGGCCUCCGGCGCCGCCGACGCGUACUACCAGUUUGGCCUGCACUGCUGGGACCUGGCAGCCGCCACAGUCAUCAUCAGAGAAGCAGGCGGCAUUGUGAUGGACACUUCGGGUGGACCCCUCGACCUCAUGUCUUGCAGAGUGGUUGCUGCCGGCACCCGAGAGAUGGCAAUGCUCAUAGCUCAGGCCUUGCAGACUAUUAACUAUGGGCGGGACGAUGAGAAGUGACAGCGGCAGACAGCAGAGCGACUCGGAAGGCCUCCGUGGGGUGCUGCGGGGCUCCCUGGGGAGAGGUGCUGCGCUCCGGGCCAGCGUCUCAGGCUUUGCUCCCUGCUACCCCGGAGGGAAAUGUCCUGCUAAAGUGUGCGGCAGGCCUUUUAAAUCCGCUUCUCUUUCACCGGGAUUUGGUGUUUAGCUGGUUUCUCUCUGUAACCGCGUGUACCUUUUCAGGUUCACUCCUGAGUGAGCACUGUGUCUUGCCACGUUUUGUAAUAGUUUUGCCUUUGAAGAAACAGCCGAUCCAGUACCUGCCCAAGUGCCCUGUCUUUCCAAGCCACCAGAUAGUUCCAGCCACUCGGCCACAGGCACCCUCGAGGAGACUGGUUUUUCUUUCGUCUCUGGAAAUAGCUUGAUUUGUCAUCUUACUGCUCUGUUUGCACAAAUUUUGU